AUGAAUUGCAUGAGCUGGAACUGCCGGGGGCUUGGGAACCCCGAGGCAGUUCGUGAGCUUCGCAGCAUUGUGAAGCAAGAAGGUCCUGCCCUUUUACUCGUAAUGGAAACAAAAAUAAGGGCGAAGAGAGUGGAAAACCUAAAACUCACAUUGGGGUUUGCGGGUUGUUUUGCAGUCGAUAGUGACGGUCUGAGUGGUGGCGUUGGACUGUUCUGGUCGAAGGAAGUU
rnacentral:rRNA from 1 species